rnacentral:rRNA from 1 species
GAUCCUGGCUCAGAAUCAACGCUGGCGGCGUGCCUAACACAUGCAAGUCGAACGCGAAAGCCCCGCAAGGGGUGAGUAGAGUGGCAAACGGGUGAGUAACACGUGGGUGACCUGCCUUCGAGUGGGGGAUAACGUCCCGAAAGGGACGCUAAUACCGCAUGACAUCCUGCCUUUGGAAAGGCGGAGAUCAAAGCUGGGGAUCGCAAGACCUGGCGCUUGACGAGGGGCCCGCGCCUGAUUAGCUAGUUGGUGGGGUAAUGGCUCACCAAGGCGACGAUCAGUAUCCGGCCUGAGAGGGCGGACGGACACACUGGGACUGAGACACGGCCCAGACUCCUACGGCAGGCAGCAGUGGGGAAUUGUUCGCAAUGGGCGCAAGCCUGACGACGCAACGCCGCGUGGAGGACGAAGAUCUUCGGGUCGUAAACUCCUGUCGAGCGGGAAGAAGGCUCCGCGGGUGAAUAGCCUGCGGAAGCGACGGUACCGCUAAAGGAAGCCCCGGCUAACUCCGUGCCAGCAGCCGCGGUAAUACGGGGGGGGCAAGCGUUGUUCGGAAUUACUGGGCGUAAAGGGCUCGUAGGCGGCCAACUAAGUCAGAUGUGAAAUCCCCAGGCUCAACCUGGGAACUGCAUCUGAUACUGGAUGGCUUGAAUCCGGGAGAGGGAUGCAGAAUUCCAGGUGUAGCGGUGA